rnacentral:rRNA from 1 species
UAGGGAAUCUUCGGCAAAUGGACGGAAAGUCUGACCGAGCAACGCCGCGUGAGUGAAGAAGGUUUUCGGAUCGUAAAGCUCUGUUGUAAGAGAAGAACGAGUGUGAGAGUGGAAAGUUCACACUGUGACGGUAUCUUACCAGAAAGGGACGGCUAACUACGUGCCAGCAGCUGCGGUAAUACGUAGGUCCCGAGCGUUAUCCGGAUUUAUUGGGCGUAAAGCGAGCGCAGGCGGUUAGAUAAGUCUGAAGUUAAAGGCUGUGGCUUAACCAUAGUACGCUUUGGAAACUGUUUAACUUGAGUGCAAGAGGGGAGAGUGGAAUUCCAUGUGUAGCGGUGAAAUGCGUAGAUAUAUGGAGGAACACCGGUGGCGAAAGCGGCUCUCUGGCUUGUAACUGACGCUGAGGCUCGAAAGCGUGGGGAGCAAACAGGAUUAGAUACCCUGGUAGUCCACGCCGUAAACGAUGAGUGCUAGGUGUUAGACCCUUUCCGGGGUUUAGUGCCGUAGCUAACGCAUUAAGCACUCCGCCUGGGGAGUACGACCGCAAGGUUG